CCAACGCUCCAAAUUCUAUCUGCCGGGAGAAUGAGAGCCGGUUCUUUUCUCAGGCACUACUAGAGCAAAGUGGUGCUUGGCGGCCUGCAGCUAUAUCUUGGCGCGCUUUUGAACUGCUGUUCAAUUAUUACGGAGCGAAUACAUACAUUCACUCAAUCACGUAAGAACACCUCGAUCCAGGAGAGCCGGAAGCUAGAAGAGGCGUGACGAGCACCAACAGAACCUACAAAUCACGCCAUUGUUCUUGGCCACGUCAAGGCUGGGGAUCCUUGUUAAAUCUGAGAAAGUGAAGGGAACUGCAAUUAAUUCCUUCAAAUGACAGCUGUCCCUCGCGACGAGGUCUUGGCGGUGGCAGAGCUGGAACUUCUCCCGCGGAAAAUGUUCAUGACCUUGGUCAUCAUUUGAUGUGCGUGACCCCCGCCAUCAUCCUUGCUGCCUUCUUUGGAUAGCACUCGGACAUGCCUUAAUGGGAUGUGCUCUGGAACUGGAUCUUCUCUAGUGGAACUGCCCCUAUUCUCGUCAACUUCCGCUGUUGUGGGUAAACGUGGUUGUGAGGAAGAUCUGGAUCCACUUGGGGUUUGGUUGUACGGAGACAUGGACAUUGGGGAUGGCACGUAUCCCUAGAACACGAUAUCGCCUGGACUUGUUUAUUUUUAUUCGUUUAUGGAACCCCUUAUUGUCUUUUGCAUCUCUUAUAAAUGCUAUACGAGGCGUCUAUUGAGACACGAGCCCCCGA